CUCCCCAACUGAGAGGACAAAGAGAGCUGUCCCCCAGGAGAGGUCUGGAAGCUUCAAGGACAUGGAAGAUCAGGAAGAAGCGCACUGACACAUGCCCAGGAGUUAUCAUCCUCACCCCCCAGAAGUGACCCGAAGCCAGGAUGGCCGAUGCAAGAAAUUCACAAAAGCCCAACCCUUCUGCAAGGAGGGACACGCCUGCAGGGCCACACACACGCCAGAGCUCCAGUUCAGAAUUCUCUGGAUAUAAAGAGCAAGAACGAGCCCCAGGGCAUCCCACUUCUUGCCUCACAGGUCAGCAGGAGCUGCUGUGGAGGAAAGGGCUCAGAGGCCACUCCGGAAACCUACUCCAGGUGCCACAGGCAGGCCACCUCACCUGAACCGGACUUGAUCUAAGGGCUGAAGCUAGGCUCAUGCGUAUGGUUUCCAGUUCUUGGCUUUUUGUCCCUGACUGCAUUUUUUCCCAUGUCACAAUCCCCUGUGUCCUGGGACAAAAGUGACUGGCCAGCGUGGGACCAGAAGAAGGCUGGGAGCUUCCCGGACUCUUGCCAGACUGUGGCCUGGGCUCCCACUUAAAGAAAAGAGGGUCCCCAGCACCAAAGAGAGGUCACCGUCCCCCAGAUGAAGCUCCAAGACACUAACCAGCAGGCACGGAUUUAUGGAAGCACAUAAUACAAAGAUUUCAGGACAGGAGGAGAAAAUACCAAAUAAUAGGGCUGAUUCUACCCAACGGGAUUAAAAUUCCUCCAAGAUUACUGCUUAAGUCUUUUUCCUCAAUAGGCCUAGGAUGUGUAUUUUUCUGAAAGUUCCCUUCUUUCUGACCAAAGAUAAUCCCAUUCUAGACCAUUAGCGUGUUUUUACUCAGGCAAGAUUACUCAUUAUGGCCCAUUCUCUCUCUCUCUCUUUCUCUUUUUUUAAGCUUUUAUUUAUUUAUUUGACAGAGAUCACAAGUUAGCAGAAAGGUA